rnacentral:tRNA from 1 species
GUGGGUGUAGCUCAAUGGCAGAGUGCUUGACUGUGGCUCAAGUUGUUGGGGGUUCAAAUCCCCUCACCCACC